rnacentral:tRNA from 1 species
GGUGGGAUGGCAGAGUGGACUAUUGCGCCGGUCUUGAGAACCGGUCCCCGAGAGGGCUCCUGGGUUCGAAUCCCAGUCCCACCG